GGUAAAAUCCUGUCAUCCUGAGAGGACCACCUGUUGCGAAGGCGCCACACUAGAACGGAUCCGACGGUCAGGGACGAAACCUAGGGGCACGAACCGGAUUAGAUACCCGGGUAGUCCUAGGUGUAAACGCUGUGGACUUGAUGUUGGGGGCGCUCCGAGCGCUCUCAGUGUCGAAGCGAAGGUGAUAAGUCCACUGCCUGGGGAGUACGGUCGCAAGGCUGAAACUUAAAGGAAUUGGCGGGGGAGCACUGCAACCUGAGGAUUGUGCGGUUUAAUUNGAUUCAACGCCGGAAAACUCACCAUGGCCGACGGACAAAUGAAAGCCAGUGUAACGAGCUUGCUGGAUUGUUCGAGAGGUAUUGCAUGGCCGUCGUCAGUUCGUACCGCAAGGNGUUCUGUUAAGUCAGAUAACGAACGAGACCCUCAUCCCUAUUUGCCAGCUGCGUCCCCGGACGCAACGCACUAUAGGGAGACCGCUGUCGAUAAGGCAGAUGAAGGCGAGGGCAACGGUAGGUCAGUAUGAUCCGAAUGCCAUGGGCUACACGCGCAAUACAAAGGACGGGACAAUGGGCUGCAACUCCGAGAGGAAAGACGCUAUCCCGAAACCCGUUCGUAGUUCGGAUUGAGGGCUGUAACUCGCCCUCAUGAAGCUGGAUUAGGUAGUAAUCGCGUCUCAAUAGGGCGCGGUGAAUAUGCCCCUG
rnacentral:rRNA from 1 species